rnacentral:rRNA from 1 species
UACGUAGGGGGCAAGCGUUGUCCGGAAUCAUUGGGCGUAAAGCGCGUGUAGGCGGUUCGGUAAGUCCGCUGGGAAAGUCCAGGGCUCAACCCUGGGAUGCCGGUGGAUACUGUCGGACUAGAGUACGGAAGAGGCGAGUGGAAUUCCCGGUGUAGCGGUGAAAUGCGCAGAUAUCGGGAGGAACACCAAUUGCGAAGGCAGCUCGCUGGGACGUCACUGACGCUGAGACGCGAAAGCGUGGGGAGCAAACAGG